UCAAAAAUCACCUCUGAAAUUUGUUUGAAAUCGAGGAUUGUCCCGCGAGCGCGAGGCGAGGGAAAUCUCAAUUUGAAGCUUCUUUGGCACAUAAAAAAGUCUCUUCCUCUUUCUCUCGCAAAGAAUCCCUAAUUUCAUUCUCAUGGAUUCGAUUGAAGCACCCUCGUUUUCGCUAGGGUUUGACCUUGACGCCGCAUCGGAUCCCAAGCCUGGUUUAACCGGAGACGACGAGCCUGAGCCGGGACUUACGGUCUCAGAUUCCGAUCUGGAGCUUGGACCUGGUAGUUCAAGCCCAGCUCUCAAGCGGUUGCGACGCGGAUUCAAUGAUAUCAGCAAGUGUUCCGCGGAAGAUGGUGCCAGUGAGUUGUUAGGUCGCACGGAGGAUCGGGAUGAUGACGACGACAUCGAGGAGUUCUCUUCUCCCGAAGAUGCACCUGCAUCAACAAGAAGUCAUUUCUCUAGUUGCAGUUCAAGGGUCUCACUUCGUGGUUCUGGGAUUUUUACUAGCCAGCCUUCUUCUAUCUCUCGGAGCCUGGAAAAAAGAAAGCGGUUUGAUGAUGUUCCAGUAACUACUGGCCCUGGCUCUGGGAUUACUUCUGUUGCACCAUUGUUUCAGAGUUCAGAUCGUAGUCCUCUGCGAAGGUUCCAGCUACUGGAAUCAGAUUCUGAAGAUGACCACCCAUCCAAACGCAGCAAAUAUUCAAUCCGUGUUACGGAAACUAAUGAUUCAUCCUCAAAGAGAAAGGAAGCUGGAUCUCUGCCAUGUACUGGAGAUCUGUUGAAAGAUUUUCCUCCGGUGGGAGUUUCAAAGACUCAAACACCAGCUCAACGAAGGUUCCAGCUACUAGAUUCAGAUUCUGAAGACGACCACCCAUCCACCCGCAGCAGAGAUUUAAGCGGAGUAACUAAUACCAAUGAUCCAUCCUCAAAGAGAAAGGAACCUGGAUAUAUGCCAACUCGUAGUCCACUACGAAGGUUGCAGAUACUAGAUUCAGAUUCAGAAGAUGACUGCCCGUCCACCAGAAGAGAUUCAAGCCGAGUAACUAAAACAAAUGGUUCAUGCUCAACGGUUCAACCAUCUGUUGCAAGUAAACCAAAGAGAAAGGAACUUGGAGAUCUGUGGAAAGAUUUUUCCCCAACGGCAGUUUCUAAGAUUCAGACACCAGCUUUGGAUGAUGUUUGUCAGGACUAUUUUAGCUCGAUCAACAAAAGCACAGCUCAGAAACAAAGCAGUGCUGUGGCAAGUAGUAGCAAUAGUGGAUUGUUUCAGCAAAAUGGGCAUUUCUCGGAUUCCUCCAACCCUACUCCUCCAUCUCAUCGUUUCUUCCUGCACAGUGAUCCAAGGAUCCAGAAUUUAGCCCGGAAGCGGUUACCAAACUUCUUGCCUUUGGGGAUUUUCAACGAUAGAGAGAACCGGCGAGAGGAGUGCCUUAUUGAUUAUAUGAACCAAUUUGGCAGCAACGGGAGUUCUAAAACCGGAGUUUCUAGCAGUAAAAGCUGCAGAGGAAGGCAAACAAAGUCAAAGGUCUCGAGGGACCAAGAGAGCUCCAAAGCGAGAUCUGCUGCAGUUCCAAAUGAUGCUGGCAGAAGACGUGUAUCAGCCAACACUGGUAAUGCAGGUCACUGGUUCACAUCCUCAGAAGGAAGGAAGGUCUAUAUCUCUAAAGGUGGACAGGAGUUCUCAGGUCAAAGCGCAUAUAGAUGCUACAAAAAGGAGACUGGAGGCGGAUUUAACAAGUCCAGAAAGAAACGACCGCCAAAGAAGAAGGCGAAGAAGUGAAUAAUUGAAGCCAUUUUUCACCUUAUAGGGACUCCCGUACGUAGGAUACCACAAACUCAAGCUCUUUUUCAUAAAGUGCUUUCAGACGGAUGGGAUAACGUCUGUUGUAUCGAGUUAUACGAAGCUCCAACACCUCGACACUUCAAAAGGGUUAAUGCAUCUUACUUUAAAGCUUUCUGUCCAAUUUGUUUUGAUUAUGUAUUUUUCUUGUUGUGAAUAUGUU